AGAUAAACAUGAGAAGAGGGGUGAGAAAGAGAGAUAAACAUGAGAAGCGGGGUGAGAAAGAGAGAUAAACACGAGAAGAGGGGUGAAAAAGAGAGGUAUUUGGUUAAACACGAGAAGAGAAAGAGAGGUGUUUGGUUAAGAGAGGUGUUUAGAUAAACAGGAGAAGAGGGGUGAGAGAGAGAAAUAAACACAAGAAGAGGGGUGAGAAAAAGAAAUAAACACGAAAAAAAGGGUGAGAAAGAGGUAUUUGGAUAAACACGAGAAGAGAAUGAGAGGUAUUUGGAUAAACACGAGAAGAGAAAGAGAGGUAUUUGGAAAAACACGAGAAGAGGGGUGAAAAAAGAGGAUAAACACGAGAAGAGGGGUGAAAAAGAGAGGCGUUUGAAAAACCACGAGAAGAGGGGUGAAAAAAGAGGAAAAACACGAGAAGAGGGGUGAAAAAAGAAGAUAAACAGGAGAAGAGGGGUGAAAAAGAGAGGUGUUUGGAAAAACACGAGAAGAUGGGUGAAAAAGAGAGGAGUUUGGAUGAACACAAGAAGAGGCGUGGAAAAAGAGGUGUUUGGAUAAACACGAGAAGAGGGCUGAAAAAAGAGGUGUUUAAAUAAACAUGAGAAAAUAAGUAAGAAAGAGAUGUAUUUUGAUAAGCACGAGAAGAGAAAGAGCAGUGUUUGAAGAGGGGUGAGAAAGAGAAAGAGAAGUGUUUGGAUAAACACGAGAACAAGGGUGAGAAGUGAGAAAAAAAAAGAGAGGCAUUUGGAUAAACACGAGAUAAGGGGUGAGAAUGAGGGGUGCUUGGAUAAACACGAGGGGUGAGAAUGAGAGGUGUUUGGAUAAACACGAGAAGAUGGAUGAGAAAGAGAAAGAGAGGUAUUUGGAUAAACCCGAGAAGAGGGGUUAGGAAGAGUGGUAUUUGAAUAAACACAAGAAAAGGG
rnacentral:lncRNA from 1 species